UACGAAGGGGGCUAGCGUUGCUCGGAUUGACUGGGCGUAAAGGGCGCGUAGGCGGUUCGUACAGUCAGACGUGAAAUUCCUGGGCUCAACCUGGGGGCUGCGUUUGAUACGUGCGGACUUGAGUGCGGAAGAGGGUCGUGGAAUUCCCAGUGUAGCGGUGAAAUGCGCAGAUAUCGGGAGGAACACCAGUAGCGAAGGCGGCACUCUGGGCCGGUACUGACGCUGAGGAGCGAAAGCGUGGGGGGCGAACAGG
rnacentral:rRNA from 1 species